rnacentral:rRNA from 1 species
UACGGGGGGGGCAAGCGUUGUUCGGAAUUACUGGGCGUAAAGGGCUCGUAGGCGGCCAACUAAGUCGGACGUGAAAUCCCUCGGCUUAACCGGGGAACUGCGUCCGAUACUGGAUGGCUUGAGUUUGGGAGAGGGAUGCGGAAUUCCAGGUGUAGCGGUGAAAUGCGUAGAUAUCUGGAGGAACACCGGUGGCGAAGGCGGCAUCCUGGACCAACACUGACGCUGAGGCGCGAAAGCUAGGGGAGCAAACGGG